UUUGAUUUGGAAAAGCUUGAAAAUCAACUAAAGGAGCAGCCCGAACAAAUAAAGAAACUGGUAGCCUACUUUGGAAUCAUUGGUGUUUUCUACUAAGCAGUUUGGCGUAUCCUGGAAAAGCUUUUGGCUAACUCCUUGGCUAAACAAAUUAACUGGAGCGGGCCAAAUUAAAAAGUGGCCUUUCGUGCACUCCCCCUUAGGACUGUUGUAGUCAAUGGAGUGAGGACAAAUGUCCAUACCAUGCCACUGAUAAAGAAGUGGAAAA